rnacentral:rRNA from 1 species
AAAACAUAGCCCUAAGAUAAAACUUAAUUAGGGUAAAACCUGCCCGGUGAAUUACUUUUAACGGCCGCGGUACCCUGACCGUGCUAAGGUAGCAUAAUCAUUUGGCUUUUAAUUGAAGUCUGGAAUGAAUGGGAUAACGGAAUUAAGCUGUCUUAAAAUAAUAUUUCAGAAUUUACUAAUAAAGUGAAAAGGCUUUAGGAAGAAGGGGGACGAGAAGACCCUAAGAGUUUUUAAAAUUUAGUUGGGGCGACACAGGAUCAUUAAAAGAUAAAACAUCCUUUUAAUUAUAAAUCAUUUUUUAUUUUUAUAGAUAAACUACCUUAGGGAUAACAGCAUAAUCUUUUAUUAGGAUUUUGACCUCGAUGUUGGACUAGAGAAGGUCUAAGCUAGCCGCUUAGCUUAAUUAUUCUGUUCGAAUAAAAAACUCUACGUGAUCU